UAUCGUUAAGUGAAUACAUAGCUUAACGAGGCGAACCGGGGGAACUGAAACAUCUAAGUACCCCGAGGAAAAGAAAUCAACCGAGAUUCCCCCAGUAGCGGCGAGCGAACGGGGAGCAGCCCAGAGUCUGAAUCAGCUUGUGUGUUAGUGGAACGGUCUGGAAAGUCCGACGGUACAGGGUGAUAGUCCCGUACACCAAAAUGCACAGGCUGUGAACUCGAUGAGUAGGGCGGGACACGUGGUAUCCUGUCUGAAUAUGGGGGGACCAUCCUCCAAGGCUAAAUACUCCUGACUGACCGAUAGUGAACCAGUACCGUGAGGGAAAGGCGAAAAGAACCCCGGCGAGGGGAGUGAAAAAGAACCUGAAACCGUGUACGUACAAGCAGUGGGAGCCUCUUUAUGGGGUGACUGCGUACCUUUUGUAUAAUGGGUCAGCGACUUAUAUUCUGUAGCAAGGUUAACCGAAUAGGGGAGCCGAAGGGAAACCGAGUCUUAACUGGGCGUUAAGUUGCAGGGUAUAGACCCGAAACCCGGUGAUCUAGCCAUGGGCAGGUUGAAGGUUGGGUAACACUAACUGGAGGACCGAACCGACUAAUGUUGAAAAAUUAGCGGAUGACUUGUGGCUGGGGGUGAAAGGCCAAUCAAACCGGGAGAUAGCUGGUUCUCCCCGAAAGCUAUUUAGGUAGCGCCUCGUGAACUCAUCUUCGGGGGUAGAGCACUGUUUCGGCUAGGGGGUCAUCCCGACUUACCAACCCGAUGCAAACUGCGAAUACCGAAGAAUGUUAUCACGGGAGACACACGGCGGGUGCUAACGUCCGUCGUGAAGAGGGAAACAACCCAGACCGCCAGCUAAGGUCCCAAAGUCAUGGUUAAGUGGGAAACGAUGUGGGAAGGCCCAGACAGCCAGGAUGUUGGCUUAGAAGCAGCCAUCAUUUAAAGAAAGCGUAAUAGCUCACUGGUCGAGUCGGCCUGCGCGGAAGAUGUAACGGGGCUAAACCAUGCACCGAAGCUGCGGCAGCGACACUAUGUGUUGUUGGGUAGGGGAGCGUUCUGUAAGCCGUUGAAGGUGACCUGUGAGGGUUGCUGGAGGUAUCAGAAGUGCGAAUGCUGACAUAAGUAACGAUAAUGCGGGUGAAAAACCCGCACGCCGGAAGACCAAGGGUUCCUGUCCAACGUUAAUCGGGGCAGGGUGAGUCGACCCCUAAGGCGAGGCCGAAAGGCGUAGUCGAUGGGAAACAGGUUAAUAUUCCUGUACUUGGUGUUACUGCGAAGGGGGGACGGAGAAGGCUAUGUUGGCCGGGCGACGGUUGUCCCGGUUUAAGCGUGAAGGUGUGUGUUCCAGGCAAAUCCGGUUCACUYUAACACUGAGGCGUGAUGACGAGGCACUACGGUGCUGAAGUGACAAAUGCCCUGCUUCCAGGAAAAGCCUCUAAGCAUCAGGUAACACGAAAUCGUACCCCAAACCGACACAGGUGGUCAGGUAGAGAAUACCAAGGCGCUUGAGAGAACUCGGGUGAAGGAACUAGGCAAAAUGGUGCCGUAACUUCGGGAGAAGGCACGCUGACAGGUAGGUGAAGCGACUUGCUCGUGGAGCUGAAAUCAGUCGAAGAUACCAGCUGGCUGCAACUGUUUAUUAAAAACACAGCACUGUGCAAACACGAAAGUGGACAGGCUGUCUCCACCCGAGACUCAGUGAAAUUGAACUCGCUGUGAAGAUGCAGUGUACCCGCGGCAAGACGGAAAGACCCCGUGAACCUUUACUAUAGCUUGACACUGAACACUGGUCCUUGAUGUGCAGGAUAGGUGGGAGGCUUUGAAGUGUGGACGCCAGUCUGCAUGGAGCCGCCCUUGAAAUACCACCCUUUAAUGGCUGGUGUUCUAACGUGGGCCCGUAAUCCGGGUUGCGGACAGUGUCUGGUGGGUAGUUUGACUGGGGCGGUCUCCUCCUAAAGAGUAACGGAGGAGCACGAAGGUUAGCUAAUCCUGGUCGGACAUCAGGAGGUUAGUGCAAUGGCAUAAGCUAGCUUGACUGCGAGCGUGACGGCGCGAGCAGGUGCGAAAGCAGGUCAUAGUGAUCCGGUGGUUCUGAAUGGAAGGGCCAUCGCUCAACGGAUAAAAGGUACUCCGGGGAUAACAGGCUGAUACCGCCCAAGAGUUCAUAUCGACGGCGGUGUUUGGCACCUCGAUGUCGGCUCAUCACAUCCUGGGGCUGAAGUAGGUCCCAAGGGUAUGGCUGUUCGCCAUUUAAAGUGGUACGCGAGCUGGGUUUAGAACGUCGUGAGACAGUUCGGUCCCUAUCUGCCGUGGGCGCUGGAGAAUUGAGGGGGGCUGCUCCUAGUACGAGAGGACCGGAGUGGACGCAUCACUGGUGUUCGGGUUGUCAUGCCAAUGGCAUUGCCCGGUAGCUAAAUGCGGAAGAGAUAAGUGCUGAAAGCAUCUAAGCACGAAACUUGCCCCGAGAUGAGUUCUCCCUGACUCUUAAAGAGUCCUGAAGGAACGUUGAAGACGACGACGUUGAUAGGCCGGGUGUGUAAGCGCAGCGAUGCGUUGAGCUAACCGGUACUAAUGAACCGUGAGGCUUAACCUUACAACGCCGAAG
rnacentral:rRNA from 1 species